rnacentral:rRNA from 1 species
CAGUCGCCGCGGUAAAACGUAGGGUGCAAGCGUUAAUCGGAAUUACUGGGCGUAAAGCGUGCGUAGGCGGUUUGUUAAGUCUGUUGUGAAAUCCCCGGGCUCAACCUGGGAAUGGCAAUGGAUACUGGCAAGCUAGAGUGUGUCAGAGGAUGGUGGAAUUCCCGGUGUAGCGGUGAAAUGCGUAGAGAUCGGGAGGAACAUCAGUGGCGAAGGCGGCCAUCUGGGACAACACUGACGCUGAGGCACGAAAGCGUGGGGAGCAAACAGGAUUAGAUACCCGAGUAGUCCCUGUCUCUUAUAA